AAAAAAUAAUAAUAAUAAUAAUAACGAAUUGGUUUUUAUUUAUAGUAUAAUGAGUGAUUGAACGGAAAUAGGUUCAAAAAGAAUGCCAAAUCCUUUCCAUCUUAAUCUGAGAAAGUUUAAGUGUAGUAGCAACAAAAUAUUGGAAACUCAAAUUGGGUAAUUCCCCAGAAACCCAAGAAAAUAUCUCCAAAAAUCUUUUUCUUUUAACAAAAGAAGGAAUGAUAAAAGCAAGAAAAUCAAUGGUGGAUGAACAAGAAUACAUCGAUUAGAACAAAAACCCAAUUAAGAAAUAUAACAGACAAGUUUUUUAAUUUCUUUUAUUUUCUUUUUGGAGGGAGUGGAAAUAAAUAGUGAUGUGUACGUACCUCAGGGUAAGGAGGGAGUG
rnacentral:misc_RNA from 1 species